rnacentral:rRNA from 1 species
CCUACGGGGGGCAGCAGUGGGGAAUAUUGCACAAUGGGGGAAACCCUGAUGCAGCGACGCCGCGUGAGUGAAGAAGUAUUUCGGUACGUAAAGCUCUAUCAGCAGGGAAGAAAAUGACGGUACCUGACUAAGAAGCCCCGGCUAACUACGUGCCAGCAGCCGCGGUAAUACGUAGGGGGCAAGCGUUAUCCGGAUUUACUGGGUGUAAAGGGAGCGUAGACGGCAGCGCAAGUCUGGAGUGAAAUCCCAUGGCUUAACCAUGGAACUGCUGUGGAAACUGUGCAGCUAGAGUGCAGGAGAGGUAAGCGGAAUUCCUAGUGUAGCGGUGAAAUGCGUAGAUAUUAGGAGGAACACCAGUGGCGAAGGCGGCUUACUGGACUGUAACUGACGUUGAGGCUCGAAAGCGUGGGGAGCAAACAGGAUUAGAUACCCUAGUAGUC